GAUGAACGCUGGCGGCGUGCCUAAUACAUGCAAGUCGAGCGAACAGACGAGGAGCUUGCUCCUCUGACGUUAGCGGCGGACGGGUGAGUAACACGUGGAUAACCUACCUAUAAGACUGGGAUAACUUCGGGAAACCGGAGCUAAUACCGGAUAAUAUAUUGAACCGCAUGGUUCAAUAGUGAAAGACGGUUUUGCUGUCACUUAUAGAUGGAUCCGCGCCGCAUUAGCUAGUUGGUAAGGUAACGGCUUACCAAGGCAACGAUGCGUAGCCGACCUGAGAGGGUGAUCGGCCACACUGGAGCGGAGACACGGUCCAGACUCCUACGGGAGGCAGCAGUAGGGAAUCUUCCGCAAUAGGCGAAAGCCUGGCGGAGCAACGCCGCGUGAGUGAUAAAGGUCUUCGGAACGUAAAACUCUGUUAUUAGGGAAGAACAAAUGUGUACGUAACUAUGCACGUCUUGACGGUACCUAAUCAGAAAGCCACGGCUAACUACGUG
rnacentral:rRNA from 1 species